UCCUUCCUUUACUGGCUUUAUAAACCUAAUUGAUGUAAAAUUGAUGCACUUCAGGAAAGAUAUUCUGAAGAGAAUGGAUCUCUCUCUGGUUUAUGUCAGCCAAGGCUCCAACUUGCCAUCGCUGUUUGCCUGCUCCCACUCCUGGGUAGGAUUUGGGGGUGUAAUUGAUGGUGCUUCCCGACUAACAUGCUCUUCCUUUCUCACAUAUCUCAGCGUCACUGUUUAACAGGCAGAAGCUGGUCCCAAACUGGGCCACCUACCAUCAAUUUGCCCAGAGGACAUGCCAGGCAAUGAAGCAAGAUGCUCAGCGAAACAGGGACAGGAGCCUGAGCUCGUCUGUUUUGGUGAAAGACUACUUUGACCUUAACUGGAGAAGUACCUACAACACGGAUUUCCAGCACUGCCAGAGACCCUACAAUGAACACCGUAAAACAAAUAAGAACCUUUCUAAUGUUUUUCCUGAAGAUGACCUCUUAAACCAGAAUGACUGGGUAUCUGAGUAUGAGGACUGCUACAGCAUUAUCUUGCAGAAGAGGAACCAGUCAUCUCAAAUCCCUGCUGGAGGGCUAUACUCUGGGCUGUCUUUGCGAAAGCGAUUUUGAUGGCCACAGCCCAGUGAGUGGUGCUGCAAGUUGGCUGUGGAUGUGUUUCCUAUGUUGUUCUGUGAUUACAGCUCCUUGGCCCUCCAAGCUGCCUGCGUGGUAUUGUCAUCACAACUGUCCCAUCACCCUGGAAGCCUGAAAACUUCUCUUCCAACCCCUCCACGGUGUUUAUCAAAUACCUGUGAAAUGUUUGGUGUUUUCAAACACAUCAUUGAAAUCUUCCAAGAACCUGAGCCUUUUCAUUGUCAGAAAAACAUC